rnacentral:rRNA from 1 species
CAACGACGAAGAACCUUACGAGGGCUUGACUAUGCAGGAAACGCGGCGGAAACGUCGUGUCCGCAAGGGCCCUGCACAGGUGGUGCAUGGCUGUCGUCAGCUCGUGUCGUGAGAUGUUGGGUUAAGUCCCGCAACGAGCGCAACCCUUAUCCCUAGUUGCCAUCAGGUAAAGCUGGGAACUCUGGGGAGACUGCCGGUGAUAAACCGGAGGAAGGCGGGGAUGACGUCAAGUCCUCAUGGCCCUUACAUCCCGGGCUACACACGUGCUACAAUGGCAGGUACAGAGGGCUGCGAAGCCGCGAGGUGGAGCGAAUCCCAGAAAACCUGUCUCAGUCCGGAUUGAAGUCUGCAACUCGACUUCAUGAAGGCGGAAUCGCUAGUAACCGCGAAUCAGCAGGUCCGCGGUCGAAUACGUUCCCGGGCCUU